rnacentral:rRNA from 1 species
UGGGGAAUUUUGCGCAAUGACCGAAAGGUUGACGCAGCAACGCCGCGUGUAUGAUGAAGGCUUUCGGGUCGUAAAGUACUUUCAGUGGGGAAGAACUGCAUAAUCAGUAACUGGGUUAUGAUUGACGGUACCCACAGAAGCAGCCCCGGCUAACUCCGUGCCAGCAGCCGCGGUAAUACGGAGGGGGCAAGCGUUGUUCGGAGUCACUGGGCGUAAAGAGCUCGUAGGCGGCAGUGUAAGUCGGGAGUUAAAGGCAACAGCUCAACUGUUGUAAGGCUUCUGAAACUACAUUGCUAGAGUGCCAGAGAGGUAUGCGGAAUUCCCUGUGUAGCGGUGAAAUGCGUAGAUAUAGGGAGGAACACCGGUUGCGAAGGCGGCAUACUGGCUGGUAACUGACGCUGAGGAGCGAAAGCGUGGGUAGCAAACA